AAUUAAGUGAAUGCGGUGUGUUAGAAUGUCAACUCGCCUCGGCCGUACAGCUGUAAAGAAGGAUUCAUUAACAAGAAAAUGCCCAAAAAAUUUCAAGGAGAGAACAGCAAAGCAGCUAUUGCAAGGGCUCGAAAAGCAGAUAUUGCAAUACAGGAAAAACAGAAGAAAGAUCAGAUUCAAGAAGAUGCACUUUGGGAAGAUAAUGACAAACAUAUCAAAAAGAAGACUGCAAGAAAGGAGGACCGUGAAAAGAAGCGUCAAGCAGAACUAGAAAGGAAAGCACUAAAUCGAGCUUUAGCAGAAAUUGAAGAAGUUGAAGUUAAUGUUCCUCAACCUACCCCACAAAAAGUGACACAGUUCCAGUUACAGAAAAUCAAAGAAAAACAAACGGAACAACAAUCCCGAAAAGUUGCAACAGAAGAUUCCCAAACACAUUUGGAUGUACCUCUUGUAGAGAACCUCAAUAGAACAGAUGAUGAAAUUGUGUCUGCAAGUGGUGUUGAUGCUGCAAUUGCUGCCUUGAGUGUACAAGAUGACUCUUCUGACCGUCAUCCAGAAAAGAGAAUGGUUGCUGCAUUUAAGGCCUUUGAAGCAGUGAGACUUCCACAGAUUAAGAAAGAGAAUCCUAACUCUCGGUUGUCUCAGCAGAAACAACAGUUACGGAAGGAAUGGCAGAAAAGUCCUGACAAUCCUAUUAAUAAAAGACAACUCAAUCAAUAACUCAGUCAAAUUAAUGACGACAUUACCUUGGGUUAUAGAUUGGUUGAAGAUUACUUUUCAGUCACAACCAACAUCCUUAAAAUGGGAGAACAAGAAGCAGAGGGAGGAGAUUCCCAAGCCUUGAAAUCACUAGCAUUUGUGUACUUCCUUAGUUAUGGGUCAGCCAUCAUGGAUCUAGGAUCAGUUCUUACCUCCUUGCCAUUUCCAUUCAUGAGCAACAUGUUCAGUGUUAUAUUGAAACGCACAGUUUUAGGUGUUGUAAUGAAAGUUAAAAUUGCAAUUUACCCUUCCUUUUUUACACUAUCUUGCAAGUGCUGUUCAGCAAAGUUGACAUUUGAAUGACGGGAUCUGGAGAAGACCUUCAUUCAAAAGUAGGGGAUACUACGUAAGUGAUAUCCCUGUUAGCCGGAAUAAUUGGUGCAGAGAUCUUCCAAGGAUGAAAGCUUCUGGAUGACGAGACGAUUCUCUCAAACCUGGAAAACCCCACAUCCCUGGAAUUUCCUUUUUCUCAAUGUACCACUUUGCCUGCAGGUUUGUGGGGGAAAAUAAUUUGUCAAUGUCUGCAGUGUUGCAGAAUUCUAGGACCCAAUUUUUAAAGCAUAUUUGUACUGUAAAGUAUAAUACCAGUGGAACAUGGUUUAUGGUGGAAACCUUCAGAAAUACACCAGUAGACAAUAUAAACACUGGGAAGCACUUCCAAGAUCUGGAUGGUGAAUCCAGAAUUAAUUUUGUCUUUAUUGGUAAUGGAUUUUUUGGCUGUAAUGUAUUUGGACUUUCCAAAUACAUGGUCUAACUGUUAAUACUUUAGCCCAUCUUAUUAAUGAGGCCUCUUCUGCUAAUCUUUUCCACAGAGGUGUUCAGUAACUUGUUUUAGCUGUUUUUUCUUAAAUGUCCCUCGUGUUAAUUAGAGGUUUCUCGGUCCAUUGAGCUGGUCUAGAAUUCGAGAGAAACCUUUGUUUAGGAGUUAUGAAUAUUCUUUUAUAAAGGCAACUUUAUGCUCUUAGGAGAGGUAACAAGUUUGUUUCUUUAGGUCUUUUACUUUCCUGGUCAAUUUUUAGGCGCUGAAUCUUUUUUGUUUUAUAAUAGGCUUGAAGAGUUUCAUUUCCAGACAUAGAAACUGGAUGAGGGAUCUCAUCAUUCCCUUUCCACAGUAAUAGAUACAAAUAGAGUCGAGAAAAGUUUGACCAGUAAUCCUUAAUUCUUAACCAUUGAUCGAAAUGUCCUUUGAGGGGUUGCCUCCAGUACUAUAUACUGUAUUAUAGUGAAAUCAUUGACCUCACUCAACCUCAUGUGCAUAACCCAAGGAAAAAAGUGACUUCUUUGGUCUUCCUUUGGAGUAUAGCAAUGAAAUUCUUUCAUCAAAGAGGAGCUUGGAUAUUGGUAAACCUGUUCAUCUCCAGAUACUGUACUAAUGAGUAGAUAAGACUACUGGGCUGCUGGACUGUGUUACUGUACCGGGGAGCCUGUAAGAAUUUUCUUUUAACCUAGUUCACAGAAUAACAGGUGAGAGUCAUGCUAAUAUGUGGAACUUCAUGCCUUUCUCUUCCCUUUGUAUCAGUAGCUUGAAGUAUAUGAGUAGCCUUAUCCAAUGGAUAUUAUAAUUGAGGGAUUGAUCCUUAAAUCCCAUUUUACAGUGAAGGAUGGAUCAGACAACUCAGAUCCCUCUCUCUUCCCUUCGGGUGUUGAGGUGAGCUGGAACUGAGGAGUGUUGGAACCAUUACCCAGUUUUUAACCACAGUCAUGGGGAAAAUGUGUAUUAGUGCUGUUGGUGAGGACUCUCGGGUCUUGACCUAACUGACAAGUGAUUUAUCCAGCUACAGUAUCCCUUCAUUAGGGGCAUUGGUGAGUUAGUAGAUUGACUAUUCCAGGUACUGUAUUUGGAAUAUAUUGUAGUCCCAGUCAUGCAAGUUAGGGAUCCUAGGAACCUCAAGGUAUCUUCUGCCUGAAGACUUGUUGAUGCAGUACUUGAGUAAUCUGAUGCAUGUUUAGGAUCCAUCCCUUAUUUAACCAAGUAGAAUAAUGUUUUCCCUCCAUGUUCAUUUUUCCACUAAGUUUAAUCAGUUUAUUCCUGUGCCUUAUAUCCAGAAAAAAUUAUUUCAAAUCCAUGUCCUCAGUUUUACAAACUUUAUUCUUAGGUAGCCUUUACGUAGCUUAGGAUUUUUAGUUAGUUUCUUGGAGGUUUCUAUUUGUUUUUGUAUUAUUAGAACAUGUUCAGAUUGAAAUUUAGAGCUUCUCUGGUGUCCCUGUGUUUUCUUAUAAUUACUGCACAGUACUAGGCAAAGAACCGACAUUAGUUUGACUAAAGUUCAAGGACUUACACUGUAAAGGUCACUUUAAAAGGCAUUUCAUAAUUUUUAUUGUAAGUGAUGCCAAGUACGUAUUGUUAGAUUGUGUCUUCCAAUCGUAUUUAGCACAACUUAGUCAAAAACUAACCAGGCUUUGCGUGUUACUCGAGCCUCCUGACUGUAGGCUUAUUUAUAUAAUGGAAUUCUAGGAUCAAUCUUCCAUUUAUGUAAUGUGAAUAUACUUUUAAUCCAUAUUCCAUGUAUAAGUUGUGAAAUUAAAUGAUUUUUGUAAGCAA
rnacentral:misc_RNA from 1 species